GGAUCCAGACUUUGAUCCUGGCUCAGGACGAACGCUGGCGGCGUGCCUAAUACAUGCAAGUCGAACGAAGCUUUCUUUCACCGAAUGCUUGCAUUCACCGAAAGAAGCUUAGUGGCGAACGGGUGAGUAACACGUAGGCAACCUGCCCAAAAGAGGGGGAUAACACUUGGAAACAGGUGCUAAUACCGCAUAACCAUGAACACCGCAUGAUGUUCAUGUAAAAGACGGCUUUUGCUGUCACUUUUGGAUGGGCCUGCGGCGUAUUAACUUGUUGGUGGGGUAACGGCCUACCAAGGUGAUGAUACGUAGCCGAACUGAGAGGUUGAUCGGCCACAUUGGGACUGAGACACGGCCCAAACUCCUACGGGAGGCAGCAGUAGGGAAUCUUCCACAAUGGACGAAAGUCUGAUGGAGCAACGCCGCGUGAAUGAAGAAGGCCUUCGGGUCGUAAAAUUCUGUUGUCAGAGAAGAACGUGCGUGAGAGUAACUGUUCACGUAUUGACGGUAUCUGACCAGAAAGCCACGGCUAACUACGUGCCAGCAGCCGCGGUAAUACGUAGGUGGCGAGCGUUGUCCGGAUUUAUUGGGCGUAAAGGGAACGCAGGCGGUCUUUUAAGUCUGAUGUGAAAGCCUUCGGCUUAACCGAAGUAGUGCAUUGGAAACUGGAAGACUUGAGUGCAGAAGAGGAGAGUGGAACUCCAUGUGUAGCGGUGAAAUGCGUAGAUAUAUGGAAGAACACCAGUGGCGAAAGCGGCUCUCUGGUCUGUAACUGACGCUGAGGUUCGAAAGCGUGGGUAGCAAACAGGGUUAGAUACCCUGGUAGUCCACGCCGUAAACGAUGAGUGCUAAGUGUUGGAGGGUUUCCGCCCUUCAGUGCUGCAGGUAACGCAUUAAGCACUCCGCCUGGGGAGUACGGUCGCA
rnacentral:rRNA from 1 species